CGCUGUGUCGUUGGACGGAGGCGCGUGAAUACAGAGGGGGCAAGCGUUGUCCGGAGUUCAUGGUUGUAAAGGGCAUGCAGGGGGGUGGGCAAGUAUGCUGUGAAAGCCCCGUGCGUAACACGGGGAGGCCAGUAUAGACUGCACUGCUCGAGGGCUGCAGAGGGUAGGGGAAUUGCUGGUGUAGUGGUGAAAUGCGUAGAGAUCAGCAGGAACACCAAGGCCGAAGGGACCUACCUGGGCAGCACCUGACACUCCAGUGCGAAAGCGUGGGGAGCGAACCGGAUUAGAUACCCGGUAGUC
rnacentral:rRNA from 1 species